UACGAAGGGGGCUAGCGUUGCUCGGAAUCACUGGGCGUAAAGCGCACGUAGGCGGCUUUCUAAGUCAGGGGUGAAAUCCUGGAGCUCAACUCCAGAACUGCCUUUGAUACUGGAGAGCUAGAGUCCGGAAGAGGUGAGUGGAACUGCGAGUGUAGAGGUGAAAUUCGUAGAUAUUCGCAAGAACACCAGUGGCGAAGGCGGCUCACUGGUCCGGUACUGACGCUGAGGCACGAAAGCGUGGGGAGCAAACAGGG
rnacentral:rRNA from 1 species